UUUUGGCUCUAUCGAAGCUCGUUAGGAUUUAUUAAAGUCCUAAAGAGUCAAAGUGCAGCCUAAAGCAACAAUCCGUUCAUAAGGUCGUCGUUUUGAUAUUUUUUCAUAAUGGCAUUACCCAGAGGGGAUACAUUU